UGAGUCAUUGUUCCACACCUCUUCUGAGACUCAACUUUCCAGCACCAUUCAUUCAUGCAAUUCCUUGCAUAACAAAACACACCUUUACGCAUUUUACAUACAUAUAAAUACCCACGGUAACCAUUACAUGAACACAGCUAUAGAGGAUGAGUGAGACUCCUGACAAUGUGGAAAAUCCUUCAUCCACCAGCAACCAUGAUGGCGAUGAUUCCUCUGAUUUUAGAGGUAUGUUGGUGCAAUUAUUAUAUAUUCUAGCUUUCACACAGUGAAUAACUACCAUCUUCAGUUUGAUUUGAUUACUAAGGGAUUGAAGUGUUUCCUUUCUGUCUCAUCCACUCCUCUGCUUCCCAAAGUAAAGUAUGAGCAUAAAGAAUGAGCACAGGGUGAAAGCAGGAGGUAGAUAGUCGAGUUAUCCACUGCAAAGGAUGCAAAGGGUUAAAGUGCUUGUACAUCUAAAAUCUUAUGAAACAGAAUUUAAGAAUGUCACAUUGAAGAGAUUAUUUGAUUUUAGCAACAGAAACAUAAUCUUAAAAAAUAUAUCACUUACACCAGUAAUACGCAUUACAUCAUUAAUGUAUCAGUGGGAGGAAUUAUCACCAUAGUGCCAAUUGUGUUUAUGGUGUAUGGCGUUUAUAAAUAAAUGUUUUCAUUCUGCCGACUGUGCUUGUUGGCUGUUGAUAUUGAUGAUUAUUACUAUGUGAUAUUUUUUCUGUUUGUGAUUAUAUUUGCUCAGACCUGUGUUCUGUUAUAUAAUACAGAACACAUGGUCUUUAUAACUCCAUCCAUCCAUCUGUAUUUUAAUGACUCGUAUGGAUAAUAACACAUUUUUUAAGAGUUUAGGGACUGAUAGAAUAUAUUAAGAUCUGUACUAGGUCAAAAUGAAAUUAGUGAAUAUAUAGAGAGUUUGUAAUAGUUUAAUUUUUUUUUCAGAAAUCAUCAAAUCACUACAAGAAGCAAACGUAAGUGUAAUUUUGAUCAUAUUUUAAAUAUCCAGUGCUUCUGCUAUCAUAUCAGUGCUUUUUACAUUCACUACCUUGUAAUAAAUAUUACGUAUAAGCAUUUAUUCUUCAUUAUGCAGGCCAUCGUUUGUUGUUGCCAGUUCACUGGAUUAGACAAAAGUUUAAUUUUGUAGACCACGACCAAAAUAAUCAACGAUAUAAUUUUGGUUGAAACCUUCUACAAGUCUCCACAUACCUCUAAAUGGACUCCAAUGCUCCGUCAGCAAGUUCGUUUGGAGUACAACAAAAUCAGUGAGAUUCUGAAAGAAGCUGGGCAGAGGGAUGGACUGAGGUCAACCUCCUUUCAUUUGUACCCUAACCGUCUUCCAGUUAGAUUACCAAGCGAUACGAGAGGUCUUUGGAGAAGUUUUUUAAAGAAGAUUGUUAGUGAUGAUGAGAAACAACAUGCAGUUGCUGCUCUUUUCAUUAAUGGUUGCAAAGAAAUAAUUUCUAUGAAGUUUAAAAUUGACAAACAAUGCAUCCCAACCUCAAGGGGAAUAAAAGCUUUUAAUAAACACUCAGAGGAAGCAGCGAUAGAAUGGAUUGAUAACACCUUAAAACAACUUUCAAACAUUGUACAGAGAGGGGGUUAUAUUCUCAUUUACACCUUCAAUAGUCCAUGUGUUAAAAGAGAGGAUGACAAUUUGACACCUUGCUAUUUUCUCAUAAAAAAAAUCAGAUGAAUGGCAAGUAAAAUAUAAUCUUUCUACUGAUGUUGGAUUUUCAAAUAUAUUCGGACCGAUUAGCAUUACAAAAGUUGUUGAAUACAUUCAGUAUUCUAAAAUUUCAAGUUCAGGUAGUAUUUUUUACAAAUACAAAGACGAAAAGGAUUGGCAAGACAAAAUACAACAUAAUUUAAACGAAGUAUUUGUUUAUUUCUUUAUAAAGUACUCCAAGCUUAUUUGGAGGAAAAAAUGUUCUGUAAAUUUCCAUCUAAUUGACAAAAACACUUUGUUGAAAGAAUCCAUUUCUCAUAAUUUUGGUCUUAGCGGUCUUAGUUUUAAUUUACACCUAAAAAAGAUUGGUGUUUGGUCCAGGGUGUACCCUGCCUCUCGCCCCAUGAUAGAUGAAAUGGGCUCUAGCCCCCCCUUAACACAGAAAAUCUUAUGUCUUAUACCUUAUUUUCACAAUUCCAACCAAUCAGACGAAUUGAAAAUUGGAUUUAUGAAGUACAGUAUCUUAUAAAAGGUACUAUAUGAAAUCCCACAUACAGACUGGAUACAAACAAUUUUAGACAACAUAAUAGCUUCUUUCUCUGUGAAGUACCCCGAGCUUAUUCCUGGGAGCAACUGUUUAUUAAAAUUUAAAUUAAUUGAGAUAAAUACUGAAACGAAAGAGUACACCAUUAUUAUUAUUAUUCAUCAUGUUAAUGGUUUCUUUUUUAAUUUGGCUCAACAACAGUCUGGCGAUCUGGCAAUGGUCUACCCUUCCUUUCACCAUAUGAUAGCUCAGAUAGGCUCCAGCCCCCCCUAUGACCCUGACAAUCUUUACAUUUUGAUCUCUAAUGCAAACCAAUGAAAUAUUCUGUUUUAUUUGCCAUUCUAUUGAAGUUGGGUAAUAAAAAACUGCCUAUAUUGUAAUCUGAAUUUUAAUUCAGAAAAUUACCUUUGUGUAUGUCCAUGUAUCGCAGCAGCAGCUUCUUGAUGUUUGUACUGCACUCUAAAAAGAGUUGAUCUCCCAACUCUUUUUAGAUUGACUCUUUUUUUAUACUAUACUGUAUACAACUGUACUUGCCUGUUAUGUUUCCUCUCUUACAUUAAAAUAAAUAAAUGAUGAUUUGAGUUUGCAAGCCUUUACUGUUUAAGUCAGAGUUCAGUUACACAGGUACCACUCCGCUGACAUACCACCCUGUCCAUGAGAAUACUGAUCAUUGUAGUAGUAAACAAAAAAGAAGAUCCUGAUUUCCUUUUUUUUUAAAAUAUCUAGGCAAUGUAUAUUUCCUUUAGAUAAAUAAUAGUAUCUAACAAAGUGCGAAAAACAUUUGACCAUCUCAAGUUGAAGCCAUAAACAAACACAUUUAAAUGAUGUGACGCGUAGCUUUUCCAUAAAACAUCACAAACUCAUUCCGAGAAACAACUGCUCAGUGAAAUUUCACUUCAUUGACAAUUGACAGGAGAGUCAAGGACUAAAGUUGCAAUAAGCAAUGAGAAUAAUAACACUCAAAGCCUUUUUGAUCCAUUCACUUUUUUUAUGCAAGUGCUUUCUAUCUAGCAUUCACACACGUUAACACUCUUAUGGACCCAUCGGAGAGCAACCUAGGGACUGUCUUUGGGCAAGACAGAAUUCGGAAUUCGGCUUUUGCUGUCUUCAUUUGGUAAUAAGAUAUACCAUUUUGUAUAGUAAAAAAAAAAUGUUGUGUACCUUUUUUGUCAUCAACAAAAUGUAGUGCUUUUGUUUAUGCAAUUAGUUUUAAAGAGAAGGAAAGCAGGAAGCUCAGGUGCUGUGUAAAACCAAUCUGCUUUCAACUGUACAAUCCACAGAAACACACAAAUUUAAUGUUCUUUAUUAGUAUUUUAUUGACCAUUACAUGACCUUGUUAAGUACCACUGUGCCGGCACAUGAAAUUAUCCUCUUUGAUGUGGAGCUUUGAGAACUGGGAUAAACGCA